UACAUGUGGGGCAAGCGUUGUUCGGAAUUACUGGGGCAUAAAGGGUGCGUAGGUGGUUUGUUAAGUCACGGGUGAAAGUUUUCGGCCCAACCGGAAAAUUGCCCGUGAUACUGGCGAACUUGAGUGCGUGAGGGGUUACCGGAACGAGCAGUGUAGCGGUGAAAUGCGUAGAUAUUGCUCGGAAGCCAGAGGCGAAGGCGGGUCUCUGGACCGUAACUGACGCUGAGGAGCGAAAGCAUGGGGAGCGAACAGG
rnacentral:rRNA from 1 species